rnacentral:rRNA from 1 species
GAUGAACGCUGGCGGCGUGCCUAAUACAUGCAAGUCGAGCGAACGGACGAGAAGCUUGCUUUUCUGAUGUUAGCGGCGGACGGGUGAGUAACACGUGGAUAACCUACCUAUAAGACUGGGAUAACUUCGGGAAACCGGAGCUAAUACCGGAUAAUAUUUUGAACCGCAUGGUUCAAAAGUGAAAGACGGUCUUGCUGUCACUUAUAGAUGGAUCCGCGCUGCAUUAGCUAGUUGGUAAGGUAACGGCUUACCAAGGCAACGAUGCAUAGCCGACCUGAGAGGGUGAUCGGCCACACUGGAACUGAGACACGGUCCAGACUCCUACGGGAGGCAGCAGUAGGGAAUCUUCCGCAAUGGGCGAAAGCCUGACGGAGCAACGCCGCGUGAGUGAUGAAGGUCUUCGGAUCGUAAAACUCUGUUAUUAGGGAAGAACAUAUGUGUAAGUAACUGUGCACAUCUUGACGGUACCUAAUCAGAAAGCCACGGAUAACUACGUGCCAGCAGCCGCGGUAAUACGUAGGUGGCAAGCGUUAUCCGGAAUUAUUGGGCGUAAAGCGCGCGUAGGCGGUUUUUUAAGUCUGAUGUGAAAGCCCACGGCUCAACCGUGGAGGGUCAUUGGAAACUGGAAAACUUGAGUGCAGAAGAGGAAAGUGGAAUUCCAUGUGUAGCGGUGAAAUGCGCAGAGAUGUGGAGGAACACCAGUGGCGAAGGCGACUUUCUGGUCUGUAACUGACGCUGAUGUGCGAAAGCGUGGGGAUCAAACAGGAUUAGAUACCCUGGUAGUCCACGCCGUAAACGAUGAGUGCUAAGUGUUAGGGGGUUUCCGCCCCUUAGUGCUGCAGCUAACGCAUUAAGCACUCCGCCUGGGGAGUACGACCGCAAGGUUGAAACUCAAAGGAAUUGACGGGGGCCCGCACAAGCGGUGGAGCAUGUGGUUUAAUUCGAAGCAACGCGAAGAACCUUACCAAAUCUUGACAUCCUUUGACAACUCUAGAGAUAGAGCCUUCCCCUUCGGGGGACAAAGUGACAGGUGGUGCAUGGUUGUCGUCAGCUCGUGUCGUGAGAUGUUGGGUUAAGUCCCGCAACGAGCGCAACCCUUAAGCUUAGUUGCCAUCAUUAAGUUGGGCACUCUAAGUUGACUGCCGGUGACAAACCGGAGGAAGGUGGGGAUGACGUCAAAUCAUCAUGCCCCUUAUGAUUUGGGCUACACACGUGCUACAAUGGACAAUACAAAGGGCAGCGAAACCGCGAGGUCAAGCAAAUCCCAUAAAGUUGUUCUCAGUUCGGAUUGUAGUCUGCAACUCGACUACAUGAAGCUGGAAUCGCUAGUAAUCGUAGAUCAGCAUGCUACGGUGAAUACGUUCCCGGGUCU